GAAUCGUACAAUUUUUUUCUUCCUUCAGUGGUUUAAGGAGAUGUCGUAGAGGAUAGGAUUUGAACGCAAUGAGUGCCAGCCCGUUUGACACCCUCCAAAUCAAACACCGUUGGAGCUCUGAAUGAACGAGGGAAACAGAACCACCACACGACCGUGAGGUAAACCACCAUCGACUGUGUAGGUCAAGCAGCCACACAGGCUUCUUGAGCAAAAGGAUGGAUGACAUAGAGAGCUGGGAAGGAGUGAGCUUUGGGGUGCUGCUGCCUGCCUGAGCCCCCAGCCCUCGUCUGGUCUCCUGCCUGGCAUCUGAGAUGUAUUCCUCGGGGUCCCUGGGCCAGCUGGGAAGACAGCAUCUCGGAGGUCCUCCAGCGACAAAAAGAAGAGAAAGACAUUCCCCCCAAAGCUCUCCCUGCACACACGGCCCCUACACUCACACAGGGCGCAUGACUGGUUACUGCCCCAGCCACGGCCACGAGAAAGAAAAAGGCACCAUCACAGACACUGGUUGCUAAUCGUGCUUUUUUGCCCUCCAGGGGCAGAGUGUUGGAGAUCAAGGCCCGGGAAACGGCCGCUGUGGGGACUGUGCGCCGCCUCUG
rnacentral:lncRNA from 1 species